rnacentral:rRNA from 1 species
UGGGGAAUCUUGCACACUGGGCGCAAGCCUGAUGCAGCUAUUCCGCGUGCGCGAUGACGGUCUUCGGAUUGUAAAGCGCUUUCGGUGGGGACAACGAUGAUGGUACCCACAAAAGAAGUCACGGCUAACUUCGUGCCAGCAGCCGCGGUAAUACGAAGGUGGCGAAUGUUGUUCGGAUUUACUGGGCGUAAAGCGUCCGCAGGUGGUUUAUUACGUCAGGUGUGAAAGCCCCGUGCUCAACAUGGGAACUGCACUUGAAACGGAUAGACUUGAAGGUAAGAGAGGUAGGCAGAAUAACUGGUGUAGAGGUGAAAUUCGUAGAUAUCAGUUGGAAUACCCAUGGCGAAGGCAGCUUACUGGCUUAUUCUUGACACUCAUGGACGACAGCGUGGGGAGCAAACAGG